AUGGUGGGUUGGAUUGAAAAAAUGUUAUUGAGUGAACGAAAGCAGAUUUUGCUAAAAGUCGUGGCCCAAGAAAUUCCUGUUUAUACUAUGUAGGUGUUUAAACUUCCAAAAGGUGUAUGUAAAUAUAUAAUAGAUGCAAUUUCCAGAGUUUGGUGGGGAGAAGAUGAGAACAGCAAGAGAAUGCAUUGGUGGACAUGGUGGAAACUAUGCUUCCCUAAGAAAGAUGGAUGGAUGGGCUUUCGAGAACUCCAUUCUUUUAGUUUGGCAAUGUUGGAAAAACAUUGCUCAAGACUACUAGAUGAUCCAGAAUCCCUAUGUUCUAUGGUCCCGUGAGAAAAAUAUUAUCAUCUAGUGAUCUUCUUGUUGAUGGACCUAAAAAGGUAUCCUCCUUAUGGAAGAACAUUUUUGCCAGUAUUCAGACUUUCAAAGAGGGCCAUAUUUGAACAGUUGAAAACAUGGAUAAGGUAA
rnacentral:rRNA from 1 species